rnacentral:rRNA from 1 species
UACGAGAGGCCCAAACGUUAUUCGGAAUUACUGGGCUUAAAGAGUUCGUAGGCGGCAUGACGAGUAGGGUGUGAAAGCCCUCGGCUCAACCGAGGAAUUGCGCUCUAAACUGUCGUGCUUGAGGAACCUAGAGGUGAGCAGAACAGAUGGUGGAGCGGUGAAAUGCGUUGAUAUCAUCUGGAAUACCGGAGGCGAAGGCGGGUCUCUGGGCCGAUACUGACGCUGAGGAGCGAAAGCGUGGGGAGCGAACAGG